CUCAAAUCUAGGUUGGGUCCUCAUAUAAUCAAUCACCUUCACCUGCCUCAUAGCCUUUUGACCAAAGCUUGUGAUUGGUGACAUUCAGUCCCACUCUUCAUGACCCCAUUUGGGAUUUUCUUGGCAAAGAUAUUGGAGUGGUUUACUAUUUUCUUCUCCAUCUCAUUUUAUAGAUGAGGAAACUGAGGCAAAUGGGGUGAAAUGACUUGAAUCAUGCAGCUAGUAACUGAGGCCAGAUUUGAAGAUGAGUCUUCCUGACUCCAGGCCUGGUGUUCUGUGCACUAUGGCGCCACCUAGCUGCCCCAUUGGUGACUGGCAUAACUACAGAUCUCAGAACAUGGAGUGUUUUGCCCAGGAAUUACCAGUUGUUGAAGGCUGCAAACUCUGAGGAGAUGAGCCUGUGCUGUGAAAGAUGAUUCUUAUUAAGGUAUGGGUUUAACCAGCUGGCUUCCAAGAUUCCUUCCAAUUCAGACAAUGUGGUUCCAGCUUUAUCAGGAUCUCUGAACAUUCCUUGUAUGUUCUCAUAGUCAAAAGACAUAGUACCUGGAAGACUGUUUCAUACAGCUGUGGAGAGGGCCAUUGAUUACAAAGCUAUCUCUAACCAGCCUCCAAUAGUGGAGAUUUGUCUUGUCUGAAACUCUGCUACAAACUUGCCUGGGCCCAAAAUUGGCUUACAACUUGAGUGAUUGUGAUGCCAAAUUAUAGGGCUUGCUUCAGAAAAACCUGAAUUACAGUUACAGGGCUAUACCUGUAAUUUCAUUUGUAUAAGGAGCCUUAGUUGAGGAAUUUCUCUACCAGGGCAGUUUGCAACUUUCUUGCACCUUACAGUCUUAGAAUUAACUAGAGCACUGAGAAGUUGAAUAAGUAAUUUCACACAGUAAGUGUCUGUGGCUGGAUUUGAACUCAGGUUUUCCUGACUCCAAGCCUAGUGCUUUUUCUGCUGUGCCACUAGCUGCCUUAAACUUAACUUUGGCUCCACCUCUGAUUGGUUGGCAUCUCUGAAAGUUUAUGUGAAUUUCUGCAUAUUUACAAAGCUAAGCUCAGUUACCAUGUGCUUCCAACUCCUGACACAGAUUUCUGAUUAUUCUGUGAAUUCCUCUUGCCUGCAAUUAUUAGAACGCAUCUUUGGUUUCUCCCACAAAAUGUGGAUUAUGUUUAAGUC
rnacentral:lncRNA from 1 species